rnacentral:rRNA from 1 species
CCUGUAAGCCAGGUGUAUCUACCCUCCUUCCUAAAAAUUCUUUUGUCAAAAAAGCAAAUUGUUUAAAAAUUGCCUGAAUGACCAAAAACCCCAAUCUUGAACAUUUUACAAAAACAGGGGGUAGACGUCCUUUAUUCUUCUUUUUACUAAAACCAGGUAUUAAAAGAGCUCUCUCUAAACCUAAAUAAAGUGGCAGUGGUUUAUCCCGGGCAGAGAGGUUUGAGCCUUUAUUUGAUACUCCUCUUUUUAUCUUACUAAUCUUUAUUUUUUGUGUGGCUGUUUUAAAAAAGGCCAGCCCCUGCUUUUAGCUCAAGUCUUAUGAAAACAAAUAUUAGGGAGCUUUAGCCACGUUCCCUUCCUUAUUAUACCCUUUUAAUUUAUAAGUACUGAAUUUGCCAGUAGGCUUCUCUUAAUAUGAGAGGCUGAACUUGUUAUAAACUAAGUACAUAUUGUCCGUCACUCUCUUUAAA